CAGUCGCCGCGGUAACACGGAGGGGGCUAGCGUUGUUCGGAAUUACUGGGCGUAAAGCGCACGUAGGCGGCUUUGUAAGUUAGAGGUGAAAGCCCGGAGCUCAACUCCGGAAUUGCCUUUAAGACUGCAGAGCUAGCAGGUGAGAGAGGUGAGUGGAAUUCCGAGUGUAGAGGUGAAAUUCGUAGAUAUUCGGAAGAACACCAGUGGCGAAGGCGGCUCACUGGCUCAUACUGGACGCUGAGGUGCGAAAGCGUGGGGAGCAAACAGGAUUAGAUACCCCCGUAGUCCCGUCUCUUAUACA
rnacentral:rRNA from 1 species